rnacentral:rRNA from 1 species
GGCCUGAUUAUGGCCUGUGAUUGAACGCUGGCGGAUGCGUUUUUCAUAAUAGCGCAAGUCGAACGGCAGCACGGACUUCGGUCUGGUGGCGAGUGGCGAACGGGUGAGUAAUGUAUCGGAACGUGCCUAGCGGGGGAUAACUACGCGAAAGCGUAGCUAAUACCGUGCAUACGUUCCCUUCGGGGAAAGCGGGGGGACCUUCGGGCCUCGCACUAUUAGAGCGGCCGAUAUCGGAUUAGCUAGUUGGUGGGGUAACGGCUCACCAAGGCGACGAUCCGUUUGAGAGGACGACCAGCCAUACUGGGACUGAGACACGGCCCAGAUCUACGGGAGGCAGCAGUGGGGAAUUUUGGACAAUGGGGGAAACCCCUGAUCCAGCCAUCCCCGCGUGUGCGAUGAAGGCCUUCGGGUUGUAAAGCACUUUCUUUGCAGGAAAGAAACGGCACCGGGAUGUAAUACCCUGCAACUAACGGCAUCGCAGAAUAAGCACCGGCUAACCAUGCCAGCAGCCGCGGUAAUACGUAGGGUGCAAGCGUUAAUCGGAAUUACUGGGCGUAAAGCGUGCGCAGGCGGCUGGAAAGAAAGAUGUGAAAUCCCAGAGCUUAACUUUGAACUGCAUUUUUAACUACCGGUUAGAGUUGUGUCAGAGGGAGGUGAAUUCCGCGUGGCAGGCAAGUAGAAAUGCGUGAUAUGCGGAGGAACACCGAUGGCGAAGGCAGCCUCCUGGGAUAACACCGACGCUCAUGCACGAAAGCGUGGGGAGCAAACAGAUUAGAUACCCUGGUAGUCCACGCCCUAAACGAUGUCAACUAGCCGUUGGGGCCUUCGGGCCUUGGUAGCGCAGCUAACGCGGUGAAGUUGACCGCCUGGGGAGUACGGUCGCAAAGAUUAAAACUCAAAGGAAUUGGACGGGGACCUGCACAAGCGGUGGAUGAUGUGGGAUUAAUUCGAUAAAUCGAAAACCUUAAUACCUCCACCCUUGACAUGUCUGAAUCCUGAAGAGAUUUGGGAGUGCUCGCAAGAGAACCGAACACAGGUGCUGCAUGGUUACCGCCGCUCUCGUGUCAGGAGAUGUUGGGUUAAGUCCCGGCAACGAUGCAACGGUCAUUAGGUUGCUACGAAAGGGUAAUUUCACGAGACUGCCGGUGACAAACUGGAGGAAGGUGGGGAUGACGUCAAGUCCCCAUGGCCCUUAUGGGUAGGGCUUCACACGUCAUACAAUGGUCGGGACAGAGGGUCGCCAACCUGGCGAGGGGGAGCCAAUCCUGAAACCCGAUCGUAGUCCGGAUCGUAGCCUGCAACUCGACUGCGUGAAGUCGGAAUCGCUAGUAAUCGCGGAUCAGCAUGUCGCGGUGAAUACGUUCCCGGGUCUUGUACACACCGCCCGUCACACCAUGGGGAGUGGUUUUACCAGAAGUAGUUAGCUCAACCGUAUGAGUGGCGAUUACCACGAUCUAUGACUGGGGUGAAGUCGUAACAAGGUAG